AGUGAACGCUGGCGGUAGGCCUAACACAUGCAAGUCGAACGGCAGCACAGUAAGAGCUUGCUCUUACGGGUGGCGAGUGGCGGACGGGUGAGGAAUACAUCGGAAUCUACUUUUUCGUGGGGGAUAACGUAGGGAAACUUACGCUAAUACCGCAUACGACCUACGGGUGAAAGCAGGGGAUCUUCGGACCUUGCGCGAUUGAAUGAGCCGAUGUCGGAUUAGCUAGUUGGCGGGGUAAAGGCCCACCAAGGCGACGAUCCGUAGCUGGUCUGAGAGGAUGAUCAGCGACACUGGAACUGAGACACGGACCAGACUCCUACGGGAGGCAGCAGUGGGGAAUAUUGGACAAUGGGCGCAAGCCUGCUACAGCCAUACCGCGUGGGUGAAGAAGGCCUUCGGGUUGUAAAGCCCUUUUGUUGGGAAAGAAAAGCAGCAGGUUAAUACCCCGCUGUUCUGACGGUACCCAAAGAAUAAGCACCGGCUAACUUCGUG
rnacentral:rRNA from 1 species